rnacentral:rRNA from 1 species
GUCAAUCUGCCCUUGGGACGGGGAUAACCCCGGGAAACUGGGGAUAAUACCCGACAGACGGGGAUUCUGGAAAGUUCCUCGUCUAAAUGCUUCGGCGCCCAAGGAUGAGACUGCGGCCUAUUAGGUAGUUGGUGAGGUAAAGGCUCACCAAGCCACAGAUGGGUACGGGCCCUGAGAGGGGGAGCCCGGAGAUGGGGACUGAGACAAGGCCCCAGGCCCUACGGGGCGCAGCAGGUGCGAAAAUUCUGCAAUGCGUGCAAGCGCGACAGAGUGACUCCCAGUGCCGAUGGUCUAGCGACCGUCGGCUUUUCUGGAAUGUAAAAAGUUUCAGGUAAUAAGGGCCGGGUAAGACUGGUGCCAGCCGCCGCGGUAACACCAGCGGCCCGAGUGGUAACCGAUUUUAUUGGGCCUAAAGCGCCCGUAGCCGGGCUGGCAAGUCCUUUGUGAAAUCGGACGGCUUAACCGUUCGGCUUGCAGGGAAACUGUCGGUCUUGGGGCUGGUAGGCGUCGAGGGUACUCCGGGGGUAGCAGUGAAAUGCUAUAAUCCUUGGGGGACCGCCAGUGGCGAAAGCGCUCGCUGAGCCAGACCUGACGUGAGGACGAAGGCCAGGUACGAACCGGAUAAAUACCCGGGUAUCCUGCCUGCAAAGGAUGUGAGUAAGUGCUAGGCGCUCCUCGAGAUGCGUCCGGUGCCCGAUGGAAUUCAUUAAUCUUACCGCCUGGAAGUACGUUCGCAGAACUGAAACUUAAGAAUUGGGGGGGA